CUUGAGCCGGGGACAGGGGCGGAUGAACCGAGCCCAUGGAGCAGCCCAUAAUAUCUCCGGGAAGCCAGACAGCAAGGGUUGCAUAUUAGAACUCCUCCUGUGGGCUGCGGGAACCAAUGAGAGAUGGAGCAGCAGUUUCCCCGUAGGCGUGCAGAAGGGCGUGUUGUCUCUACUUAAACUGUUGGUUUUGCAGGGAUUACACAGACGCAUCUAACCUGUAGAGGACAUUGUCACUGCGCAGCCUUCACCAGAACUCUUCCAACAUGAGCGACAAAAAACCUGAUGUCAAUAAGGACAUCAAGGACUAUGACGUCUCUAAACUAAAGAAGACUACUACAGCAGAAAAGGUGUAUAAACCAACUUCUAAAGACAUCGAAGAUGAGAAGAAAGAACAAAAUGUGAAGAAGUAACCAAAACACGCCUGCCAUGACUUCUCUUCUCGUCCGCCCUUUUACCUGUCUGUACUUGAGUCAGGACUCUGCCCAUCUGCCUCUGUUUUCCACUGCCAUGUCUGAUUACAAAUGGUGUUUGGGUUAGGGAAAAGAUCUGUCCCAAAGUAAAUUCAAUGGAUGUAUCUUUACUGUUUUUUUCCCAUUCAAUGACUAAAAAGAGGGUGAUAAAGAUAUGACAGGGCAUAGUUAAAAAACAAACAAACAUGAACAACUGUAUCAACGGAAAUCAAUCAAAGAUCCUGCUUUUUAACAAUUCCACAUUUAUACUGCUAAAUCGUGCCAUUAAAACAAAAGGUUGAUAUUUUUGUUUCAAUAAAAACAUCAAUGUUAAAA